rnacentral:rRNA from 1 species
UGGGGAAUAGUGGACAAUGGGCGCAAGCCUGAUCCAGCCAUGCCGCGUGAGUGAUGAAGGCUCUAGGGUUGUAAAGCUCUUUCACCGGUGAAGAUAAUGACGGUAACCGGAGAAGAAGCCCCGGCUAACUUCGUGCCAGCAGCCGCGGUAAUACGAAGGGGGCUAGCGUUGUUCGGAUUUACUGGGCGUAAAGCGCACGUAGGCGGACUAUUAAGUCAGGGGUGAAAUCCCGGGGCUCAACCCCGGAACUGCCUUUGAUACUGGUAGUCUUGAGUUCGAGAGAGGUGAGUGGAAUUCCGAGUGUAGAGGUGAAAUUCGUAGAUAUUCGGAGGAACACCAGUGGCGAAGGCGGCUCACUGGCUCGAUACUGACGCUGAGGUGCGAAAGCGUGGGGAGCAAACAGG